rnacentral:rRNA from 1 species
GAUGAACGCUAGCGGCAGGCUUAAUACAUGCAAGUCGAACGGUAAGGUCUCUUCGGAGAUACACGAGUGGCGCACGGGUGCGUAACGCGUAUGCAACCUACCUUUAACUGGGAAAUAGCCCCGAGAAAUCGGGAUUAAUGUCCCAUAUUAUUCUUUGAAUACCUAUUCUGAGAAUGAAAGCUCCGGCGGUUAUUGAUGGGCAUGCGUGACAUUAGCUAGUUGGUGAGGUAACGGCCCACCAAGGCGACGAUGUCUAGGGGUCCUGACGACGGGUUAACCCCCACACUGGUACUGAGACACGGACCAGACCUCCGUACGGGAGGCAG